GCAGAGAAGCUUGCUUCUCUUGAGAGCGGCGGACGGGUGAGUAAAGCCUAGGAAUCUGCCUGGUAGUGGGGGAUAACGUUCGGAAACGGACGCUAAUACCGCAUACGUCCUACGGGAGAAAGCAGGGGACCUUCGGGCCUUGCGCUAUCAGAUGAGCCUAGGUCGGAUUAGCUAGUUGGUGAGGUAAUGGCUCACCAAGGCGACGAUCCGUAACUGGUCUGAGAGGAUGAUCAGUCACACUGGAACUGAGACACGGUCCAGACUCCUACGGGAGGCAGCAGUGGGGAAUAUUGGACAAUGGGCGAAAGCCUGAUCCAGCCAUGCCGCGUGUGUGAAGAAGGUCUUCGGAUUGUAAAGCACUUUAAGUUGGGAGGAAGGGCAUUAACCUAAUACGUUAGUGUUUUGACGUUACCGACAGAAUAAGCACCGGCUAACUCUGUGCCAGCAGCCGCGGUAAUACAGAGGGUGCAAGCGUUAAUCGGAAUUACU
rnacentral:rRNA from 1 species